rnacentral:rRNA from 1 species
GAUGAACGCUGGCGGCGUGCCUAAUACAUGCAAGUCGAGCGAACGGACGAGAAGCUUGCUUCUCUGAUGUUAGCGGCGGACGGGUGAGUAACACGUGGAUAACCUACCUAUAAGACUGGGAUAACUUCGGGAAACCGUAGCUAAUACCGGAUAAUAUUUUGAACCGCAUGGUUCAAAAGUGAAAGACGGUCUUGCUGUCACUUAUAGAUGGAUCCGCGCUGCAUUAGCUAGUUGGUAAGGUAACGGCUUACCAAGGCAACGAUGCAUAGCCGACCUGAGAGGGUGAUCGGCCACACUGGAACUGAGACACGGUCCAGACUCCUACGGGAGGCAGCAGUAGGGAAUCUUCCGCAAUGGGCGAAAGCCUGACGGAGCAACGCCGCGUGAGUGAUGAAGGUCUUCAGAUCGUAAAACUCUGUUAUUAGGGAAGAACAUAUGUGUAAGUAACUGCGCACAUCUUGACGGUACCUAAUCAGAAAGCCACGGCUAACUACGUG